UACGGAGGGUGCAAGCGUUGUUCGGAAUUAUUGGGCGUAAAGCGCGCGCAGGCGGCCUUUUAAGUCUGAUGUGAAAGCCCACGGCUCAACCGUGGAAGGUCAUUGGAAACUGAAAGGCUUGAGUACAGAAGAGGAAAGCGGAAUUCCACGUGUAGCGGUGAAAUGCGUAGAGAUGUGGAGGAACACCAGUGGCGAAGGCGGCUUUCUGGUCUGUAACUGACGCUGAGGCGCGAAAGCGUGGGGAGCAAACAGG
rnacentral:rRNA from 1 species